UACAGAGGUCUCAAGCGUUGUUCGGAUUCAUUGGGCGUAAAGGGUGCGUAGGCGGCGCGGUAAGUCGGGUGUGAAAUCUUGGAGCUUAACUCCGAAACUGCACUCGAUACUGCUUUGCUUGAGGACUGGAGAGGAGAUUGGAAUUCACGGUGUAGCAGUGAAAUGCGUAGAUAUCGUGAGGAAGACCAGUGGCGAAGGCGGAUCUCUGGACAGUUCCUGACGCUGAGGCGCGAAGGCCAGGGGAGCAAACGGG
rnacentral:rRNA from 1 species